UGAUGUUGGACGAGAAGACCUAGCUCUCAGUCGCCGCUCGAAUUCAUUUCAAAGUGUUCUACAGGGUUGAGGUCGGGAUUGUGCAGGCCAGGAAGGAAGAAAACAGGAAGAGGCCAUCUCCAAACUGUUCCUACAAAGUGGGAAAUGUCCAAUAUAUUCGCCCCUGAGCUCAUAUUAAACCAUAUGGAUUUAGAAUAAGAUACCACUUAAAAUCAUUUGGAAGUCAAGGCAGAUGGAAGAGAGGGCCUCCGCUUCAGGCCAAGCAGUGGAUAUCGGUGAACCUUCCCCCAGGGUAUUGAAUCGAACGCAACUGGACUGUUCUGGUUGUGUUACAAGACGUUUCGCCUCCCAUCCCAGCAGGCUUCACUUUUUUGAUGUAAAAAGAUGCGCAAAAAGAAAUCCAGAUCAGCUCACAACUGUAAGUACAUGUACAGGAUGACGUUCAUCGUCAUGAUUUAUUCUGUAGCUUGUUUUUUUUUUUUUUUACAUGUAAUGAAAUAGAAUACA